UACGAAGGGGGCUAGCGUUGCUCGGAAUCACUGGGCGUAAAGCGCACGUAGGCGGCUUACUAAGUCAGGGGUGAAAUCCUGGAGCUCAACUCCAGAACUGCCUUUGAUACUGGUAAGCUCGAGUCCAGGAGAGGUGAGUGGAACUGCGAGUGUAGAGGUGAAAUUCGUAGAUAUUCGCAAGAACACCAGUGGCGAAGGCGGCUCACUGGCCCGGUACUGACGCUGAGGUGCGAAAGCGUGGGGAGCAAACAGG
rnacentral:rRNA from 1 species